GGAGUAUGAACUCCACUGAGCCCACUGUCGUAAUAAAGGUUUUUCUCCACCUCUUCAAGUGACCAUCAGAUGCUCGAGUCUUCAAAUUGCAAUAGCUGUGAUGCUGAGCUGUGACACUCUGCUGUAACACUGAGCUCUAACACUUGGCUGUGCCUCAGAGCUGUAACACUUGGCUAUAGCACUGAGCUGUUCUGCUUUGCCACAACACCCAGAGCACUGGGAUUACAGGUGUAGCCCACAUUAGCUCAGAGGGAAUGUUGUAUAUUUUUGGGGGGUACCAGGGUUUGAACUCAGGACCUUGUGCUUGUGAGGCAGGCGGUGGAACCACUGAGCUAAAUCCCCAGCCUGGGAAUGUUGUAUUAAAUCAUCACUGCCAGACCAUCAGUUUUCUCUCUGAAGAUACACACCAGGUCAUGGAGCAGAAGCGGUAAACUCACAGAGGUGCUGAAUGACCAACAAGUGACAAGAACCUGUUGAUGUGAGUGUAACAAGGGCAGAAGUCAGUUGGAUCCAGACUACAAGUAGCAGAUUAUCCUGAGCUUCAUCAGAUGCCCAGCGCACAGAGAACACGAAAGGCAGUGGGCGCUUAUCUGACACGGACUCAGCCCCGGCACAGUGUCCACACAGGAGGUCGUGUUUGGCACUGGGCUGGCAUUUCACGUGCAGAGCCCUUUGUCAUCGUCUCAUAACCCAUGGGGGUCAGCCUGGCCACCACCCUGACUUGACCUGCAGUCGGGAAGGACCAGGGAGAACAGAGCUGCUUUGUAUGUCCGGAAUCUUCCGAUCAGCACCUGUCUGGGUUGCUAUGUAUGUAUCCACGUUGACAGUUCAUGUACUGCAGUGUAUUUAUCACCUCCCUUUCGAAUUGAACUGAGAACUCUAAGCGCCUGAUUUAAACCAUCAGCUGGAGAGCUUGCUGAGGCAGGCACAGCUGAAAGGCUUGGGCUCUGUGGUUGCCGAGCAAGACCUGAGCAGUCAGUCGCCCCUUGAACUGUAGGGCUCUGCACCUUGCUUCCCUAUGCUCACCACUUGUGGUAUUUGGAACUGGAUAGAGCCAGAAAUUCCAAAAAGAAGCCACCUCAGCAAAAUCAACAAUCUGUUUUUCCUUGAAAAUUCAAAGACGCACUAGACAAAUGAGUCCCUCUGAAAAGCUGUCCUUUUGUAAAGGAAAAUGAUAUCUACAAAGAAAAAUGAUCACCAGACAAGGUACCGGGAAGAGAGGCUUCAGACAACUUCUACAGCCUGAAAGCCUUUCAUCUACAAAAAGCAAACUGCUUUAUCCACCGUCCAUUUCCUUCUCUCCCUCUUAUAAUUUGUCUCCAUCUGCCCCAGAAGCCCGGUGCUCUUCCUGCCCUCAGGAUGCUCUAUAAACCUCGGUCAUGGGACCUUUCUGUGUGUCUCAUACUUUGGUGGGAUUUCCAUGUGUGAGAAAGCAGUUACAAUGGUUUCUCUCCUAUGUCAGUUUAAACUGUAGCCAAAGACGCCAGGAGGGCAGAGAGAAGCCAAGGGUCCCUCUCCCCAAAGGCAAGGCGAUGGGGUGGGAACUUGGAGGGGCCAGAGGAAGGGCAGAGAACCUAGUGGGAGACACUGACCCCUGGCCCCAGACAGAGCCAAGCCUCCGAGGGACGAAGGCCACCUCCCGGUUUCCUGUGCAAGGUGCUAACUACAUGGGGAAGGUCACCACUUACCG
rnacentral:lncRNA from 1 species